UACAGAGGUCCCGAGCGUUGUUCGGAUUCACUGGGCGUAAAGGGUGCGUAGGUGGUGAGGUAAGUCGGAUGUGAGAUCUCCGAGCUCAACUCGGAAAUGGCAUUGGAAACUACCUUGCUUGAGGGUUGGAGGGGGGACUGGAAUACUUGGUGUAGCAGUGAAAUGCGUAGAUAUCAAGUGGAACACCAGUGGCGAAGGCGAGUCCCUGGACAACUCCUGACACUGAGGCACGAAAGCUAGGGGAGCAAACAGG
rnacentral:rRNA from 1 species